ensembl:lncRNA
GGGAAGCCAAGCCGCUUACAGAGAAUUUGCAAGGAGGGUGGCAGUGGCACAGUCAAGGGGAGGAGACAGCCACUCGGGAGGGACUCGUGCCUGCUGGAACCAGGGAGUUUCCGAGUGAUAAGGAGCAUUCGAUCUGGGAGAGCAAACAGAAAGACAUGGAAGCGAGAGCCGACAUUCAGCAGAAAACCAGAUAAAUGAGUGUUUCAAGGCCCAGAAGACAUCUUGUUUGUUUGCAGUAUUUUAAACAACAAGUAAAGAGCCAUUCGUUUCUCCUUCUUUCCGCUCUUUUUCCAACACACGGCUUGUCUGGUGCCCAAACGUCACACUGUGGGGGUGAGACCAGGAAUUCAAUAAAAUGCCUCAGGGAGAAUUAGAAACUAGGAAACUUCCAAUAAUCGAACCAGCGGUUCUGUUCUCCCCAAUGACUGAGAAUUGCAGCAAAUGUGUGAACACACUACGAGGGAGCCCCGCCACCACCCCCACUCCACCUGCCCCUCCUCCACCUGUUCCACCCCUGCAGCUGAAUUCAUCUCAUCCAUGGCUGAGGCGUUUCCUAAAAGUGCAGGUCCUUUAUUUAGACUCAUAUUCCCAGAUAUGGAAAUUGAGACCAAGAGAACCAUUUGCUCCUGUUAAAACUUUGUUUAAUUUGGAGAGAAAAAGAGAGAUAAUACAGGAUACAUGCCCCAGAAACGAAAUUCUAGGAGCCUGUCGAUGUGGUGGUCCGGUGAGGGGACAGGAAGUGUCCUGCAGUCCUGUGAUUAGGUCUCAGUCCUUCUUCGAGCCUGUGUCCUUGGGCUGGAACCUCCACAAGUGCCUCCCAGUCAUUUUUCCCCUUUAGUGAGACAGGAAGGCUCGAGGAGCUGGGGCUGCGUCCCUGCCCUUCCCCAAGUCAGAGACGGCUCUGGUGAAGCUUUUCCCUUGGUGAGGAGGUGUCUGUGGUGGAGACAGCUGUGGGCUUAAUUCGGAAUGGCUACUCUUCCCCUCCCCCGGAACAAACAUGAGGGGAUUUUCCUCUGGUCUUCAUGACGGGAAUUCGGUGCUCUAGGAAACACAAGCUACGGAAGUGUGGCGGCCCCUCAGCCUGUGCCUCAACGGGUUUUACUCUCAAGCACGCCCACACUCGGCCUCCAGAAGUUCAUCAAGUUUCCAUCUAAGCGCCCCACGAUCCCCGGCCCAGCAGCUUCUGUCUCUCAUGAGCUGUUUCUCUGGCUCCACCCGUCUGUGUCCAGCUCUCAGGGCAGCAGUUUGCCCUCUGACCUCAAUCCUCUAACAGAUCUAAGAAAAGUCAUUGAUUUCAGUUGGUUCAUCUUUUUUCAUGUUAUGAGGGAAGGAGAAAUAACUUCUAAGCUCUUUACAAGUCAGAGCAGAAACGAGAAGUCUCCAGUACAACCACUUUGGAAAACUCCAUGGCAGACUCUCAAAAAGUGAAAAAUAUUCCAACCAUAUGGUCCAGCCAUUCUACUCCUACGUAUGUACCCAAGAGAAACAAAAGUAUGUGGAUACAAAGACUUAUACACAAAUGUUCAUACCAGCUUUCUUCGUAAUAGCCAAAAACUGGAAACAAUCUAAAUCCCCAUCAACAGGGAAAAGGACAAAUGUGAUAUAUCCAUACAAUGAAAUACUGCUCAGCAAUAAAAAAAUGAGUUGUUGAUACAUGCAAAAAACAUGAAUU